CGGCCUAUGGUAGAAGCCAACGGGGAAAGGGGUGUGACUACAGGAGAUUAAGUUGGCAACAUCAGGGCUUUGCCAGUCACGGGUCUGAAAGGAUACCCGAGAUAUGUAAUCAGGCUCGGUAUCGGGGAAGUGGUCCAUUUAGAUACGUGCUCCAGCGGCAGCCAGUUUCAUCAUAUAGCUUGAUUAUCCCUCAGGGUUGGAUCAUAGCUCGCGUGCUUCACACAGCUAUGUCUAACGCAUUUAUUUUAGUGGAAGGUCGGUCGAGUAACGCCGGAGGAUUUACUUCUAGAGAGAAUCUAUUAUAGGUAUUGAAUCCUUGUAGGCUUAGGCUGGGAAAAGAUCAUUCUGUCUGAGAAAUAAUCGCGCGUGCUGAUUAAGGAGGAGGUCAGGCAAGAGUUGAUCAAGGAUGAGGAUCAGUAUCACCUAGGCCAGGAUCAUCAGCCACAUGGGAAAUGGGUCACGGUCCAAACUCCUACACGAGGCCCCAGUGAGGAAUUUUGGCCAAUGGGGGCAUUCUCGACAGAGCAAUACAGCGUGAGGGAUGAUAGCGUUUGGGUGGUAAACGUUUUUUUUCAGGGAGGAAGUUUUGCAGGGUACAAGAUGAAUAAGCAUUUGCUAACUAAGCAUCCAGCAGCUCCGGUACGGCGGAGGAGGCAAGUGUUAUCCGGAAUUAUUGUCCGUAAAGCGUGGGCAGGUUGUUUUAUAAGUUUAUUGUUAAAGGUCGAAGCUUAACUUCGAAAAUGCGGUAGAAACUGUUUAACUAGAGUAUGGUCGAAGUAGAAGGAAUUUCCAGUGGAGUGGUGAAAUGCGUAGAUAUUGGAAAGAACACCGAUGGCGAAAGCAUUCUAUUAGGGCAUUACUGACACUCAGAGACGAAAGCUAGGGUAGCAAAUGGGAUUAGAUACCCCAGUAGUCUUAGCUGUAAACGAUGGAUACUAAAUAUUACACGUAUCGACCCGUGUGGUGUUAAAGCUAACGCGUUAAGUAUCCCGCCUGGGGAGUACGCUCGCAAGGGUUAAACUCAAAGGAAUUGACGGGGGCCCGCACAAGCGGUGGAGCAUGUGGUUUAAUUUGAUGCAACGCGAAGAACCUUACCAGGGUUUGACAUGGUACUUAGCUUUUUGAGAAAAAAGUAACCUUCGGGAGGUACACACAGGUGGUGCAUGGCUGUCGUCAGCUCGUGUCGUGAGAUGUUGGGUUAAGUCCCGCAACGAGCGCAACCCUUGUUUUUAGUUAAUUGGUUCGCCUAUUCUAGAAAGACUAUCGGUUAUAAACCGGAGGAAGGUGAGGACGACGUCAAGUCAGCAUGCCCCUUAUAUCCUGGGCUACACACGUGCUACAUUGGGUUAGGACAAUGAGAAACAAUUUCGUGAGAAAAAGUCAAUCUAUAAACCUACUCUAAGUUCGGAUUGUAGGCUGCAACUCGCCUACAUGAAGUUGGAAUCGCUAGUAAUCGCUGGUCAGCUACACAGCGGUGAAUUCGUUCCCGGGCCUUGUACACACCGCCCGUCACACCAUGGAAGCUGGUUACACCCGAAGUCGUUAUUCUAACCGUUUGGAGGAAGGCGCCUAAGGUAGAGCUAGUGACUGGGGUGAAGUCGUAACAAGGUAACC
rnacentral:rRNA from 1 species